UUUUCUUCUUAAAGGAGACCAAGAUUUCAGAAGUUUUGAAAGACCCCCGGAGCAGGGAGACCCUCACUCAAGUCUCGGGAUGAUGUGACCCCCCCAAGAACUCACGUGAGACC
rnacentral:pre_miRNA from 14 species